rnacentral:rRNA from 1 species
UACGUAGGGAGCAAGCGUUGUCCGGAAUCAUUGGGCGUAAAGCGCGCGUAGGUGGCUUCAUAAGUCCGUUGUGAAAGUCAAAGGCUACAACCCUUUGAAAGCGAUAGGAUACUGUCGGAGCUAGAGUACGGAAGAGGCGAGUGGAAUUCCUGGUGUAAGCGGUGGAAUGCGCAGAUAUCAGGAGGAACACCAAUAGCGAAGGCAGCUCGCUGGGACGUUACUGACACUGAGGCGCGAAAGCGUGGGGAGCGAACAGG